rnacentral:rRNA from 1 species
UGGCUCAGAACGAACGCUGGCGGCAUGCUUUACACAUGCAAGUCGAGCGGCAGCGCGGGGGCAACCCUGGCGGCGAGCGGCGAACGGGUGAGUAAUACAUCGGAACGUGUCCCGUAGUGGGGGAUAACCCGGCGAAAGCCGGACUAAUACCGCAUAUGCUCUACGGAGGAAAGUGGGGGACCCGCAAGGGCCUCAUGCUAUGGGAGCGGCCGAUGUCCGAUUAGCUAGUUGGCGGGGUAAAGGCCCACCAAGGCGACGAUCAGUAGCUGGUCUGAGAGGAUGAUCAGCCACACUGGGACUUAUUCUCGGCCCANAGAACUACGGGAGGC